rnacentral:rRNA from 1 species
AUUGAACGCUAGCGGGAUGCUUUACACAUGCAAGUCGAACGGCAGCGCGGACUUCGGUCUGGCGGCGAGUGGCGAACGGGUGAGUAAUGUAUCGGAACGGGCCUAGUAGCGGGGGAUAACUACGCGAAAGCGUAGCUAAUACCGCAUACGCCCUACGGGGGAAAGCAGGGGAUCGUAAGACCUUGCACUAUUGGAGCGGCCGAUAUCGGAUUAGCUAGUUGGUGAGGUAACGGCUCACCAAGGCGACGAUCCGUAGCUGGUUUGAGAGGACGACCAGCCACACUGGGACUGAGACACGGCCCAGACUCCUACGGGAGGCAGCAGUGGGGAAUUUUGGACAAUGGGGGCAACCCUGAUCCAGCCAUCCCGCGUGUGCGAUGAAGGCCUUCGGGUUGUAAAGCACUUUUGGCAGGAAAGAAACGUCGCGGGCUAAUACCCCGUGGAACUGACGGUACCUGCAGAAUAAGCACCGGCUAACUACGU